rnacentral:rRNA from 1 species
CCAAGGAGUCUAACAUGUGCGCGAGUCACUCGGUCUUGAAUAGGCCAGAGAGGCGCAAUGAAAGUAAAGUUGAUUGAGUUACGAUCCUUAUGCGGUUAUGCGUUAUGUGUAACGGUAAGGCGCAGUAACAGCCCGCUAAUUUCGCUUUUUGACGAUAUGGCGGAGUUAUAGCGUACACGUUGGUACCCGAAAGAUGGUGAACUAUGCCUGGGCAGGACGAAGCCAGAGGAAACUCUGGUGGAGGUUCGUAGAAAUUUUGACGUGCAAAUCAAUUUUCAGACCUGGGUAUAGGGGCGAAAGACUAAUCGAACCAUC